rnacentral:lncRNA from 1 species
AAACAAUGUCAGUUUCAUAUGGACUAUUCCAAAUAAUAGAAAAAAGAGACAAUAUUCCAUAACUUACAUAAAAGGCUAGCAACAUCUUCACGCUAAAACUUGACAAGAACAGUAUGAAGGGAAAAAAAUCGCAUUUAAUAAUCACAUUAAUUACAUAUUUAAUAUAUUUAAUAAUAUCAGUGUAAAAAUCCUAAACCAAAUAUAAGCAACUUGAAUCUAGGAAUAUACAAAAAGUCUGAUAAAUCAUGAACAAAUUGUGUAAAGUUGAUAAAAGUGAACUUUUCCAAGACUGAUCUCCACAGGGUGUUCUCCCUAAGAGGAAGAAACUGCCUCUAGUAAAACUGACCUUCUGAGUGGUUCCAUGGAGAGCUGUGUGGUCCCGGUGCUCAGACCGAACAGGUAAGCCUCAAGACCUGUACCCCAGCCACUCCAUCCCCAUCAUGCCAGGGAUAAGUUCCUUCUCCAACCACGAAAGCUGAUGUGGUGACUUCUGCCUUUGGCUUUGCAUGUGAUAAAGCUACCAUGAAAAGCUUAGACCCCAUUCUCAGACCAUAAAAGGAGAAGACCUGGCAUCCCCUUCAGUAAGCCAUAACUGAAUGCGUAGCUUAACUGAUGGAGUAGGGCUGGGGCAAAGCCUCUGCCACAACAUAUCACAGUUGCAUACUAAGCCAUAGUGACACCAAAGAGGGGCUAUAGUCAUGCAGUGGAGAAGCUCACAGACCAAUGCUUAAGGUCUCUUAUCUGAUCCUGUCUGAUUGUUGUUCAUGGAUAUGCAGUGUGACAGGUAUCACCUGCCUCAGUUCCCGUCUCUUGGAGGACAACAUCAAGGACGAUGGUCUAGUGAAUGGCCUUAGAUCUGACCCAUUCUCAGUAUCUACUGAGAGGCUGCUGCCACAUAGCACAGAGCUGGAUGGUCUGAUACUUUGGGGUGGGUCAGAGCUUUCAAAGAACUUCCCAUCUAAGGAGGCAGCAAAGCUGACAGAAAUGUAGGGACCACAUCAGGCCUUCACCUGUCUGUUUCCACAAUGGAGUGACAGAAAUCUGCUAUUUUCUUCCAGGAGCAAGUCUGGCUGAGCCUUUAAUAUCCAUUUCCUUACCACAAGAAAUUCUGUCUGGGCUUCACGUCUUAAGCAGUGACUACAACAGAUCUCCUUAGCAGAUCUGUAAGAAGGAUAUCAGUUUCAUUUUUACAAAAUCCAGAAUUUUUGUUGGAAGUUAGCAAUGUUAGAGUAGUGACUAUGUAUGGAAGAGGGGGCUAGGUGGCAAAAGGAAGAGCAGGAAGGAAAAAGGUGAAGACCACUGGGAAAGUAAACUAGAGUGGUGCAUCCUAGCCUUUGAAUUACUUUGGCAACUAUUUGUUUACGUAUCUGUUUCUAUGAAUGGAAAGUUCCUUGAGGACAGGGACUCUGUCUUAUUUGCAUUUGCAAUCAUUGCAUCUAAUACAGGGAUGUGGAAUACUCCCACUCCUCUGCUUACCUUUUCUCUCAUUAUUGUUCUCUCUCUCCUCCCCAAGGGCAGAGGAGUUGCUCAUGUAUUUAGUCUGAGUUUACUGUAUUGACUAGACCAUAUCGAUCACCAGAUAAGGUCACUGAUCAUACUCAUCUAUGGGAUAGGAAGCUAAAUGAACCAAGAACAGUGAGAUCUAAUAGGCUAGGAGUGACUACGAGUCAAUGGUCUGGAGCCUAGUAGAUAAAUAUUUUAAACAAGGCAUCACGAUUAUGUUUGCUGGAUAUGGACCUCUGGUCAGGUACACAGAACCACUGACUAACAUACAUUCUGACUGUAUAGAUUCUCUGUUAUCAUAUGGAAGAAUCAACUACAAAAAGACAUUUUUCUAAUUCUUGGACUUUUUGCUAGUAUACAUAUAGAUUUCAGAAACAAAUGCUUUGCUAAGGUUUUACUUCAUUAAUUAAUAUGUAUAUGAAGAACCUAUUCCAUUCAUUCAGUUACUCUUUUAUCUGUGCUAUGCAGAAUUGAAUGAUCUAUGUACUCUGCAAUGCUCUGCCAACACCUCAAGCUAGAAUCUAUUAUUAAUUGUCAGAUAGAACUGGCUUCAUGGGUGUGCAAUCUGUGUAGGCACACAAUGCCUCACACUCAAAAAAAAGAUCUACAGUUGAUACAAUGCUCUGCUGUCAAUAUCUAGAACUUCUUAUAAAUUUUUCACAAGGGAACUUGUAUUUGUUCCCAUCUUAAAAAAAAAAAAAAAAAAAAAAAAAAAAAAAAAAAAAGCCAGUGCGUAGUAGGGAUCUAGACAAGUAGCCCAUGGGCCUAUCUCAGAUCUCAGAAGUCAGAAGAAGAGAGACAGACACAAGAAAAAACCAAAUCCUGAAUAUAUAAUAUUGGAAUCUUUAAAAAUUUACCUAGUUAAUUUGUUAAUUAGCUAGAUUGAAUCAUUCCACAGUGUAUAUAUACUUGAAAAUAUCAUGUUGUAUAUGAUAAAUACACAAAUUUUAUCUGUUGACUUAAACGAUAAAACAAAAAGUAACUUUCAUCCCUCAAACAAUAAAAAUCCAAAAAGAAUGUGGAUCCAUGUUAAGAAGGCAUGGUCUCUGAAGUAGUUCCCUGCCUUCACUUUUAUUUAUUUUUAAAUUUUAUUAUGCAAAAUUUUAGAUAUUAUAAAUGUGUAUAAAUAAUAUAAUUAUCCUCCCUAUACUUAUACAGCUCCAACAGUUGUCAAUAUUUUGUUAAUCAUGUUUCAUUCAUUUCUCUAUUUUUGGUGAAGUGUUUUAAUUAAAAUCCCUAUAUUUCACCCAUAAAUACUUCAGUGUGCAAGUCUAAAAGAUAUUCUUUUUUAAAUACAACCUCAAUAUUAUUGUCAGACCUAACAAAAGUUUAAAAAAUUAAUGAUCAGUUUAUGUUCAAAUUCCUCAAAGAUGCCUUUUGAUAGUUACUUUGUUAAAUUUCAAUCCUGACAAGGUUUGCAUUUGUUUGGUAUUGUCACUUAACUUUCUUUUAAACUACUAUAAUUCUCCUUAUCUCCAUUUUUUUUAUGCUAUAUAUUUGUAGAAAUAUAUUGGUUAUUUGCUUGUGUAAUUACCCACGUUCAGAAUUUGGCUAAUUGCAUCUUCACAAGGUUGCUGCUCUAGCCCCAGAAUUCAUGUGAUAAUUGAUUUUAGAUUUAGGGAAUGGGUUAGAUUUGGUUUAAUUUGGGGGCAAGAAAACUACAUAAAUGGUGCUGCAUAUUUUCUUUUAUUUCUCCAACUUUAUUUGGGUAUAAUUGAAAAAUAAAAACUGUAUACAUGCAAGGUAUACAUGUACAUUGUAGAGAUUUACCCCUAUGUUUUCUUCUAGUGAUUUUACAGUUUCAGGUCUAAUAUUUAAGAAUUUAAUCCAUUUUGAGUUGAUUUUUGCAUAUGUUGUGAGAUAAAGAUACAGUGUCAUUCUUCUGCAUAUGGAUAUCCAAUUUUACCAACAUUAUUUAUUUAAGAGACUAUCCUUUUUCUCAUUUUGUGUUCUUGGCACCUUUGUCGAAAACCAAAUGACUAUAACUGUGUGGGUUUAUUUCAGGAAUUUCUGUCCUGUUCCAUUG